GGAUGCGAUCAUACCAGCACUAAAGCAUCGGAUCCCAUCAGAACUCCGAAGUUAAGCGUGCUUGGGCGAGAGUAGUACUAGGAUGGGUGACCUCCUGGGAAGUCCUCGUGUUGCAUUCC
rfam:Triticum aestivum genome assembly, contig: Triticum_aestivum_CS42_TGACv1_scaffold_469858_5DS